rnacentral:rRNA from 1 species
UACAGAGGUCCCAAGCGUUGUUCGGAUUCACUGGGCGUAAAGGGUGCGUAGGUGGUUGGGUAAGUCUGAUGUGAAAUCUCCGAGCUUAACUCGGAAAUGGCAUUGGAUACUAUUCGGCUAGAGGGUUUGAGGGGGACUGGAAUACUUGGUGUAGCAGUGAAAUGCGUAGAUAUCAAGUGGAACACCAGUGGCGAAGGCGGCUCACUGGCCCGUUACUGACGCUGAGGCACGAAAGCGUGGGGGAGCAAACAGG